rnacentral:rRNA from 1 species
UACGUAGGUGGCAAGCGUUGUCCGGAUUUACUGGGCGUAAAGGGCGCGUAGGCGGCUUGUUAAGUCGGGGGUGAAAUCCUGAGGCUCAACCUCAGAACUGCCUUCGAUACUGGCAAUCUCGAGUCCGGAAGAGGUUGGUGGAACAGCUAGUGUAGAGGUGAAAUUCGUAGAUAUUAGCUAGAACACCAGUGGCGAAGGCGGCCACCUGGACGGUCACUGACGCUGAGACGCGAAAGCGUGGGUAGCAAACAGG